rnacentral:rRNA from 1 species
CCUACGGGUGGCUGCAGUGGGGAAUAUUGGGCAAUGGGCGCAAGCCUGACCCAGCAACGCCGCGUGAAGGAAGAAGGCUUUCGGGUUGUAAACUUCUUUUCUCAGGGACGAAGAAAGUGACGGUACCUGAGGAAUAAGCCACGGCUAACUACGUGCCAGCAGCCGCGGUAAUACGUAGGUGGCAAGCGUUAUCCGGAUUUAUUGGGUGUAAAGGGCGUGUAGGCGGGAGCGCAAGUCAGAUGUGAAAACUCAGGGCUCAACCCUGAGCCUGCAUUUGAAACUGUUGGUCUUGAGUAUCGGAGAGGCAGGCGGAAUUCCUAGUGUAGCGGUGAAAUGCGUAGAUAUUAGGAGGAACACCAGUGGCGAAGGCGGCCUGCUGGACGACAACUGACGGUGAGGCGCGAAAGCGUGGGGAGCAAACAGGAUUAGAUACCCGAGUAGUC